rnacentral:lncRNA from 1 species
AUGCGAGGCGUAGACGAGCGGCGGCGGGUCCUGGAGGUGAUGAGGCGUGGACAAGCAACAACGGCCAGUCGCGGAGACGGACGCGGACGAGACGGCGGCGGUCACGGAGACGAGGCGAUGCGCGGACGAGUGGCGGCAGCCGGUCGUGGACGAGGCGAUGCGAGGCAUAGACGAGCAGCAGCCAGUCCCGGAGGCGAUGAGGCGCGGACGAGCAACAACAGUCGAUCGCGGACGAGACGACGGCCGGUCCCGGAGGCGAUGAGGCGCGGACGAGCAACAACGUCACGGAGGUGGAGGGAGCAGGCGGAGGAAGACGGAGCGGCGCCGGGGGUGGGAGCAGGCGGAGGAGGGACGGGCGGGCGGCCAUGGCGGUGCCGCGGCGGAGCCAAGCGAGAGGCUGCGGGAGCUGACGACGAGCGGCGGCGGUCGGUCGCGGAGGCGGUCGCGGACGAGGCGACGGCCGGUCGUGGAGGCGGAGUUUGGACGCGGACGAGGCGGUGGCGGUCGCGG